CUUCCAUAAAUAGCCCAUGUCGAACCCAGGCAGGCAUAGUUAGAGGAGGGAGAUCAGCGCUUGCUGCACGGUCCGGAGCUUGUGGUGAGCUGGAAAUAUUCAACAGUUCUGAAUGAUUAUGUUCAUUUUGUUGGACAAACGUGAUUAACCAUGAUGAUGUUUACUUCGCUGCCAGUUACUUCAUGGAUUCCGAAGGAGCCAGGUGGUCAAGACGGCUAUGGCUGGACUCCUGGCAAGAACAGCUGCGGAAACUUUGUGCUUGGAUUUUUAACUGUAUCUUCCAGAAGCUUCAGCAAUGUUUGAGGGCUGUUGGAGAAUCUAUCAAGAAUGGUCCCCAUGACCCCGGUAUCAAGGAAGAGAAGCGUCCACUGCUCGUUAUUCCAAAAGGAAAUCCACAUGAAAUAAACAUGUGUCAUGGUUCCCUUGAUUUCAAACGCCUUUUAGAAGAUGAUAUUUGCAGGGAAAGAAAGGAAGUGUUCGUAUCUACAAAACCUGUUUGCCACAGCAGUUGUGUUGAAGUCCUCGAUAAUCUUGAAGCACAUAAUUCCCUUGAUAAUGUAGUCGAGCUACCCACCGAUGAUCAUAUUACCAGGGACACUCUUCAAAGGAAGAAUACCAUGAAUGAAACGCCAGAUAAAUCAUUAGAGAUGCGAGAAUCUUCGUCUUCAUCUGUAAUUUCCAUUGUUGCUGAUGAUAAAAAAGGUAAUUAUUUAUCUCAUGAAGUGAAACAUCAGGAUCCUAAUAAUGCAGAAGUUCACCCUGAAAAUACACCUGAGAAGGAUUGUCUUCCUCGAAAUAAUGAGACAUUGCAGGAAGCAACACAAACUGUGGAGGGAACUCAAACUAACAAGGAAAAAGGGCCCUUGAAGGACCACAGGCCCUUGUCAAAACAAAUUGUGGAGGGAACUCAACCUCACAAGGAGAAAGGGUCCUCGAAGGACCCCGAGCCCUUUUCAAUACAAAUUGUGGAGGGAACUCAAGCUAACAAAGACAAAGGGCCCUCGAAGGACCCCGAGCCUUUAUCAAUACAAACUGUGGAGGGAACUCAAGCGAAUAAGGAGAAAGGGUCCUCAAAGGACCACAAGCCCUUUUCAAUACAAACUGUGGAGGGAACUCAACCUCACAAGGAGAAAGGGUCCACGAAGGACCCCGAGCCCUUUUCAAUACAAAUUGUGGAGGGAACUCAAGCUAACAGGGAGAAAGGGCCCUCAAAGGACCCUGAGCCUUUUGCUUCACGAUGCAGGAGUAAACUCACUGAAAGUCUGAUGGCCGUUUUCCCAGAUGUCAGUGAUGGUUAUAAAGAAAACCUUGAGCAUGGCCGGAAUCUUCAAGAUACAUCUCUGGAUAGAGAAGAGAUAGCCAGGAACACGACAACCAGGACCCAGCAAGGGAGAACACAGCAACGUCACUGGACAACCUCUAAGGAUCACACACACCAUGGUGGUGGAUUAUACAGACUCGAUUCUAAGUUUGAUAAGAAACAUCAUGUCCAUGAAACAUCAAAGAGCCGAAGAGUUGAAGCACAACAAGUGGGUGCGGUUUUCAUGAAGAUUCAUUCAUUGGAAGAACAUCAGAUGACAAAACAAAAGCUCGGAUCGAGGACUGUUCGGGGGCAUCCAGCAUUACCUGGUACACUCCGAGGGGACUUCAAGAAAGCUAAAGCCUCUGUUUGCAUUCCAUUAUUGAACGAAUCUGAAAUAAAAACGACUGCGGCACAGAUAGUUGCAGAACGAACAGAAACACCUGCGAUUGCAGAGAUAAUCACAGAUCACAUUCAGCCUGAAGGAUCAGGCUGGGUGCCCAUCGACCUUUGUUGGCCUCUGUUCCUGAGCAUGGAUAUCCAUCCUUCCUGGAAAGCUCGAUUUCCAGCAUUUCUCCAGCUCGAGGGAGUUCACUUUGCUGAAGGGUAUUACCUUUAG
rnacentral:lncRNA from 1 species